rnacentral:piRNA from 1 species
UUCAGUCAUCAUUAGAUCAUC